AAAAUGCAGAAACGUUCUUGUUCGCUCAUAUCCGACUCACUUCCGCACACCAGUGUCACGCUGGGCCACGAACUCACGUUCAGCUUUCAGGCUGAACCAUUCCCACAGAGUGAGUCACCCACAACGGGCGGGUCAAGGGCAGGUGAAGCGGGAGUGCACGGCCUAAGACUUUCCUGAAGCGGCGGGAUUUUCCAAAUAGAAACCAACUGUGCGAGGACGCCUCCGCUCCGGAACUGAGUCCCGGGUCAUCCAGGGCCAAAGGGAAGCCAUUGUCUCUCACCUAGACCUCGCCUCCGCCGGGUGCGAAACGGCUUUCCCCGUCUCCCGGGCGACCGGCGCUGCACGUCGGCCUGACGUCAGGGCGCGGUGACGUCAUGGCCCACGCCUCUCGCCGACGCGGAACAGCGCUCCCCUACACUGCACUAGCGGAAGUGGGAGAGCUUGGUGGCGGGGUUCCGAGGAAAGAACUCUGCUUACGCUGAGUGCCGUAAGAGGGAGGGAAGGGGAGCUGGGGCGGCGAGGUGGGGGAGGGCAGAAGGCUUGGUAAAGGCUGCGGAGGUGGAGGGAGACGUCACAACCCUGCAGGGCGCUGGAGAGAGGCGCUGCCCCGCGCGCCGAGUCCUGGUCCUACCUCCCAUCCCUGCCAACACAGUAGUGGGCAGUAACUGAUCUUGAGCGGUGACAGAGAUGAGGUCAUGGGUGUAAAAGGAAGCACUGGUUUCACUCAUUACAACAAGUACAAAGUACUUGGAAAGCUUUGGUAAGAUUUUCAUCCUUCUUCAAAAAUAAUCAAAAUGAAGUACUUAGUUCACUUACACAUAACUGACUUUCAUUCAUUCAUUCAUUCAUUCAUUCAUAAAACAAGUAUUAACUGAUGAUGUACUGCGCCACAAGCACCGCAUACCAGCAUACGGUGAGGAUCUGUGACUAACCCAGACAGAAACAGCCCUUGUGACUCAUUCCGAAUCCAGAUCUCUCGCUUGUGAGGAUUGUAUAAGGUCCAAAAUGCGGGAACCAAAGGAAACAUUCAUGGCUCCCUCACAGGGAAAGACUCAUUACCACUGAAUAAAAUGAGAUUGAAUAUGAAGACAGUUAAUGAAACCCUUCGUUGUGGAGACGUGAUUAAAUGAUGCAGAGCAGUACUGGUACAAUACUCAAACUGCCAACUGAGGGCUGUUUGUUAAUGAAUAUGACAACGUGAUGUAUUUCCUAAAGCCUGUGUUCAGGGCAGUACUACUCUGGGAGCUAGAUGUGCCCUGUACACGUAAACUGACGUUUUUGCUGUGCCACCCACUGUUGAUUUUCUGUUCCCAGCCUCUAAAGAAGGUUCCUCAUCUGAGAAAGAGAAGCAGUACUCAAAGGAUUGAACAAAUGACUAAGCAGUACAGAGGACAGUCAACCCAGUGGGCAAGUACAGCAUGCUUAUGAGAACUUUCAGAACUACUCAUCUUCAUCUGUCUCCUUGAGGGUCAGUGAAGGCAGGAUUGUUCUCAUUUUGUAACAAUGGGGGUUUUAGAUACAGGACAAAUACAGAUGAUCUAAAUAUGUUGAGUGCCUUAUCUGUAACGGGAAUUGCACACCUAAAGCAAGAUCACUCUGUUCUGAGGCUAGUUUGCUUGUACAGUCAGGCAUUGCUUAACAACGGGGAGAAUUCAUUGUGUGAGCAUCAUAGAGUAUACUUACACAAACGUCGGCGCCAUAGCCUGCUGUGCACAUAGGCUAUAUGGUGUAUAUAUAGUAUGGCCUAUUGCUCCUAGGGCCGUGAUGAACAAAACAACAUGAGUUUAAAUCAGGCACCAGAGAAAGUGGUGCAAGCAAGAGAUGUGUAAGGCAGCUGCAGAUUAACACAGCGUACUACUGUUUACGAGAAGCUUUUGCAGAAUCCAGACCUCUUCACCUCUACCCUCUGCUGUAUUCCCCAACCACAAGUGAAUCAGCACAAAUCCUGGAGUUCAGAUAAGGUCAAUUCUGCUUCACUUCCUUCCUCUUUGCAGUGAUUAAAUCAGAAAUGAGUCUA